rnacentral:rRNA from 1 species
GUAGGCGUGCGUUAGGCAAAUCCGGCGCACAUAUACCGAGGCCAAUGAUCGAGCCAGCUUGCUGGUGAAGUGACUGAACGAGGUUCCAGGAAAAGCCACUAAGCUUCAGCUACACACGACCGUACCGCAAACCGACACUGGUGCGCGAGAUGAGUAUUCUAAGGCGCUUGAGAGAACUCAGGAGAAGGAACUCGGCAAAUUGACACCGUAACUUCGGAAGAAGGUGUGCCCUAUUAGUGUGAAGUGAACAACGGAGCAUGAAUGGGUUGCAAAAAAUCGGUGGCUGCGACUGUUUAUUAAAAACACAGCACUCUGCAAACACGAAAGUGGACGUAUAGGGUGUGACGCCUGCCCGGUGCUGGAAGAUUAAAUGAUGGGGUGCAAGCUCUUGAUUGAAGUCCCAGUAAACGGCGGCCGUAACAAUAACGGUCCUAAGGUAGCGAAAUUCCUUGUCGGGUAAGUUCCGACCUGCACGAAUGGCGUAACGAUGGCCACACUGUCUCCUCCUGAGACUCAGCGAAGUUGAAAUGUUUGUGAUGAUGCAAUCUCCCCGCGGAAAGACGGAAAGACCCCAUGAACCUUUACUGUAGCUUUGUAUUGGACUUUGAACAGAUCUGUGUAGGAUAGGUGGGAGGCUUUGAAGCAGGGUCGCUAGAUCUUGUGGAGCCAACGUUGAAAUACCACCCUGGUGUGUUUGAGGUUCUAACCUAGGUCCAUUAUCUGGAUCGGGGACAGUGCAUGGUAGGCAGUUUGACUGGGGCGGUCUCCUCCCAAAGCGUAACGGAGGAGUUCGAAGGUACGCUAGUUACGGUCGGACAUCGUGACGAUAGUGCAAUGGCAUAAGCGUGCUUAACUGCGAGACUGACAAGUCGAGCAGAUGCGAAAGCAGGACAUAGUGAUCCGGUGGUUCUGUAUGGAAGGGCCAUCGCUCAACGGAUAAAAGGUACUCUGGGGAUAACAGGCUGAUACCGCCCAAGAGUUCAUAUCGACGGCGGUGUUUGGCACCUCGAUGUCGGCUCAUCUCAUCCUGGGGCUGUAGCCGGUCCCAAGGGUAUGGCUGUUCGCCAUUUAAAGAGGUACGUGAGCUGGGUUUAAAACGUCGUGAGACAGUUUGGUCCCUAUCUUCCGUGGGCGCUGCAGAUUUGAGGAAGCCUGCUCCUAGUACGAGAGGACCGGAGUGGACACACCUCUGGUGUAUCGGUUGUCACGCCAGUGGCAUUGCCGAGUAGCUAAGUGUGGAAGAGAUAACCGCUGAAAGCAUCUAAGCGGGAAACUCGUUUCAAGAUGAGAUCUGCCGGGGCCUUGAGCCCCCUAAAGAGUCGUUCAAGACCAGGACGUUGAUAGGUCAGGUGUGGAAGCGCAGUAAUGCGUUAAGCUAACUGAUACUAAUUGCUCGUGCGGCUUGACCCG